UACGAAGGGGGCUAGCGUUGCUCGGAAUUACUGGGCGUAAAGCGCACGUAGGCGGCUCUUUAAGUCGGGGGUGAAAUCCUGGAGCUCAACUCCAGAACUGCCUUCGAUACUGAAGAGCUUGAGUCCGGGAGAGGUGAGUGGAACUGCGAGUGUAGAGGUGAAAUUCGUAGAUAUUCGCAAGAACACCAGUGGCGAAGGCGGCUCACUGGGCAGUAACUGACGCUGAGGAGCGAAAGCGUGGGGAGCGAACAGG
rnacentral:rRNA from 1 species